rnacentral:rRNA from 1 species
CCCGAUUGAUUCUGUCGGCGGUUAUAUGCUUGUCUCAAAGGCUAAGCCAUGCAUGUGUAAGUUCAAAUAAACCUAAAAUGGUGAAACCGCGAACGGCUCAUUAUAACAGCUAUAAUGUACUUGAUGUUGAUUAUCCAACUUGGAUAACUGUGGCAAUUCUAGAGCUAAUACAUGCACCAAAGCUCCGACUUUUGGACGAGCGCAUCUAUUAGAUUAAAACCAAUCGGGUUAUUUGACCCGUUAAUUGGUGACUCUGAAUAGCUAUGGCUGAUCGCAUGGUCUUGUACCGGCGACGUAUCUAUCAAGUGUCUGCCUUAUCAACUUUCGAUGGUAGUUUAUGUGCCUACCAUGGUUGUAACGGGUAACGGAGAAUAAGGGUUCGACUCCGGAGAGGGAGCCUGAGAAACGGCUACCACAUCCAAGGAAGGCAGCAGGCGCGCAAAUUACCCACUCUCGGAAUGAGGAGGUAGUGACGAAAAAUAACGAGACCGUUCUCUUUGAGGCCGGUUAUCGGAAUGGGUACAAUUUAAACCCGUUAACGAGGAUCUAUGAGAGGGCAAGUCUGGUGCCAGCAGCCGCGGUAAUUCCAGCUCUCAAAGUGUAUAUCGUCAUUGCUGCGGUUAAAAAGCUCGUAGUUGGAUCUGCGUCUCAGGACCUGGUCCAUCCAUUGGAUGAGAACUGGGCUCCUAGGCUAAUAUUGCCAGUUUUCCCUAUGUUACCUUGAUCGGUUGCGUAGGGUAGCCAGCAAGUUUACCUUGAAAAAAUUAGAGUGCUCAAUGCGGGCUAAUGCCUGAAUACUCGUGCAUGGAAUAAUGAAAUAGGAUCUCGGUUCUAUUUUGUUGGUUUUCUGAUCUGAGAUAAUGGUUAAGAGGGACGGACGGGGGCAUUCGUAUCGCUGCGUGAGAGGUGAAAUUCUUGGACCGUAGCGAGACGUCCAACUGCGAAAGCAUUUGCCAAGAAUGUCUUCAUUAAUCAAGAACGAAAGUCAGAGGUUCGAAGGCGAUCAGAUACCGCCCUAGUUCUGACCGUAAACGAUACCAACUAGCGUUCCGUCGGCGGUAAAUACGCCUUGACGGGCAGCUUCCCGGAAACGAAAGUUUUUCGGUUCCGGGGGAAGUAUGGUUGCAAAGC